GUGAGGCAGAGGGGCUCUCCGGUUGUGGACUGGAUGUGAGGGGGUGAUGUGGAAGGGUCCCCGGUUCUGGCGUUGGCACAGGGUGAACAAAAGGGGGUUUGUGGACUGAAGGGGGAGGUCUGCGGGGGAGGGAAGGUCCAGGCUGGGGCUGUGGCCAUGGGGGUCUCUGGGGGUGCCAGGCAACAGGCAAGGGCCAGGACAAGGACUAAUGGUGACAGAUGGGGACCAGGAACCUGAGAGGUGGGAGGGAAUCUGGGGGGCAGCUGCCCGGGGAAGCCAGGGGCACUAGGGGGUGGGGGGGUGGGAGGGUGGCGGGCGCGGCCAGGGCCUGAGGUUGUGGGCUGGAAUGUGCCCCUGGUGAGGACCCAGUGGGCUGUUUGAAGGUGAAGAUGCUGGAGUCCGUUUGUAUCUCGGGGGACAGAUCCCGGGAUGUGGCAGGGGGGUGGUGGCAGGGCAGGUGUGCUAGGAAGGAGAGCCGUGCAGGGCAGAGAGGGGGUGCAGGCAUGGCUCAGAGGGAGCGCCUCAUGGUUGGGGCUGGUAGGACCGGUUGUCUUGUGGGGAGCUGGACUGAGACUCAGCCGGUGCAGAGGCAGAGUGAAGAGUCUUUCUUGCUGGUGUUACUGGAGCACCUGGAUCCAGCUGUGCCUGCAGGCCCUGCACUGAUCCUUUUCUGGAGGUGCGGGGGCAGGCGGUGACUAGAUUUUCAUUUGUCAUUUCAGUUGGGCCUGCACAUCCAGCCCAGCCCCGAGAGCUGACUCCUAUGGCUCCCCCACAUCCCUCUCUCUGGGAAGGGAACCUGCCCAAGUACUGCUCACUCCCACCCCGGAAGAGCAGGGCCGAUGCAGCCAGGCAGGCAGACCGCCACCAUGUGGGGAGGGCAGAGGGUAGGGCGGUGUCAGACAUAAGAGACAGCGGGGAAGGAGGGAGAUGCCGGGCCAUGCGGUCCGCGGCUGAGGUUAUGUCUGCAUGGCCCUGGGGGUGCCUGGGCUGAGGGGGACAUGACCGGACUGAGGCCCCUCAUUUGGGCACCGGCAGGUGGGGAGGGGACCCUCAGCCUGCACCUACCCCUAAACACCUUGCCGGGUUCCUGCCCAGCUGCCCAGGGUCCCCUGUGCACCCAGGGCCGAAUCAGGGCUCACACCCCCUCCUCUGGGCACACGUGACCUCACCCUCGGAGCCUGUUUCCUCGUGUCUGAAACGGGGACAAUGGCAGCAUCCCCCUCCCCAAACCCCACUGUGGCUUACAGGUUAACCUGAGCCUGCGCAGGGAGCCUGGCCCCGCCCACACUUGGGUAUCAGCCUGGGGAUACGAGUGUGGGACUUCUGGCCUCCAGAUCUGUGAGAAAAUCAACCUGAGGUCAGCCACCCAGUCUGUGGUCCUCUGUUACGGCAGCCACGGGACACUGGUGCGUCACUUGAGCAUUUUACAGCAAGCCGUGCGGGUCAAACCAUGUCUGAAGCUGGGUCGACUUGGGUCUCAGUGCGGACCCUCCAGAGAAGGGGCUCGGGGGUCCUCAGCACUGCCAGGAGCCCUGCUGCCCGAGCUGGCGUUUCCUCUCCGACACAGCCCCUCCCUCGCAGUGACCUCGGCUACAGGGACUUCCAAGGCCACCAAGGAGCAGGGCUUUGUGUGGCUGGUCAUGGCGCGGGCAGCCGGGACAGCAGAGGGGAGGGUGCCGAGAAGGAUGUCCACCGGUCUGUGACUGUCCCCACCUGACCCUCCCCGCAGGCCCCAUGACCUGUGCCCCCUGCCUCUUCCGCCUGCUCCAGACCUGCUCCUGACCGCCAGCCUCUUGGUUUCCAUGACAACCAUCCCAGAGAUUGAAAGGGAGGGAAAAGCAGGGUGGCGGCUGGCACAGGAGCCUGCUCUGGGUUCGGGGAGCUCACCCCUGCCUGGUCACUUGGCAUGCUGCACUGCCACACCCCUUCCUCGGGGGUCUGCCCUGCCCCUCCCUGGGGGCUGCUCGUCCAGGGCCCCUACCAGCUCCGGGUGGGUGUCCCCUCCAAGGGGGCCCGUCAGCCUUGCGCAGUGGGAGGGGGGGAGGCAAGGUCGCUCUCCGUGGGAUGCAGGUCUAGGGGCCUUGGUGGCCGUACGAAGAGGGAGGGACGGUUUGGGUGGGUGUGGGCCGGCCGGGCUCAACACCGUGGGCAGAAGUCAACGCCAGCCUGCCCUCUGCUGAGCCAACAAAAGCCCUAACCAUCCGAGCCAGUCGAUGUGGCUUCUCUGCCUCCACCUCAGCCAGUUUCUGCACCCGAAGAGCGGAGAUUGAUGCCUCCUUCCCGGUGGUGGUGGGUGGAGGUCUGGGCAAAGGAGACCAGCCCCUCCGCAGCUGCCCCCCAUGGCCCAGGAGCGACAUCCCCACUGGCUACCUGGGGGUUGGGGGGUGCGUGCUCUCUGCACCUCACGCCGCACACGUGCUCUGCUCCUUUGGUAACAGAAGCACACGGCCCUGGACGACGGGCCAUGCGGCUGGGCUCCCAGCCCCCACAUACUCCCUGGGCUGUCCUGAGUGCUCGGGGGCGCUUGGCCUCUGUCGCAUCUCACUUCGUCUCCCCACCUGCCCACAGUGCAGCUGGUGUGGCCCCAGAGACCUUCAGGGACCUGCCCAGGGUCACGAGCUUCAGGAAGGACAGAACUGGACGAAACCCCGGGUCUUAACUCCAGCCGGGCUCUGGCCACACUCCCGCUGCUGCCGCUGGGUCUUCUCAGCUGGGCCGGGGUGGGGGGGGGGGGCUCCUCCCAGCCACGCCCUGACAGGUGCUGGGAACUUCGCAGCGACAGCCAGGGAGGUCGCUGCCCUGCUAACAUGGGGGGACAGGCCACAGCAUGUAAAUGUUAAGUCACUAAGUUGUUGUAAAGACCGAAAUACAGACCGUGAGGAGAGACUGAGGGCACAGGAGGAGGGUCCCGCGUGGGACAGCUUUUCCCACAGAGAGCUCUGAAGAUUCAGGGCCACGUGGGCCUUCCCGGGAGGCUGUGCGGAUGGAGCCCCCGGGAGCCCACUGGCCGGCGCAGCAGGGUCCCUGUGGCUGCAGCUCAGGGGGCUGGACCUCACCCCUCCCUGUCCCCACGGUGGUCUCUGAGGUAAAUGUGCAAGCAGACAGUUCGUUCCUAGAAUGCGGAAUUUCCUAUGGACAUUUCCAGAAGCCACGCAGCAGGAGUGCCGCCAGUCGGAGGGUCAGCACUGCGGACCGCGGACAGCGCCCUGCGGGAGCCCGGGGACGUGCCUAUGCAGGACUGAAGUGGCCUCAUAAGUCAGCCAUUGUCCUCCGUGGAGUUGCGCGUCAGAGCGUUUCCUGCACUUCUCACCGUGAGACGCUGUGUCGAGGCAUCUGGCGCCUUAUGAGAGCCCAGCGCCUUCCUCCCGCCCCCAGCCUGGCCUUGGGCUGUCAGGGCACAGGGCAGCUCCUGGGGACACCAGCUUGGGCAGCAUCAGAUGGGAGGAUCGUGCCUGGUUUCGUUCACGCGCGUGCUCCCGGAGCCCAGAACCGUGCCUGGGACACAGCAGAGGCCCCAGAAACGUCUGCCGGAUGAACAGACCCCACUCUCGACACCGAAGCCCCAUAUCCGGCCACCUGCUGUCCGGGGGCACCACUGGCUUCUCGAAUGCUCGGAGAAACACAAGCCAGGUUGAGCCGACUAUUUAAAACGGGGACUUUAUUUACUCGUCUGGAGCAGUGCGCCAGGGCCCCGACUCCGCUCCAGCACAGGGCGGCUCCGCAAAGCCGCUACUCAGUUUGGAACCAAGACUGCCGGGCACUAAAAACACAUUGAGAAAACAUCGACGCUCUUCCCUUUUUUUUUCCCUUGGCUUUUUUUGUUUUUGUUUUUGCUUUUUUGGUACAAAAUGAUACAAACAACAAU